CGAACAAAGACGAAUUUGAAUUUUCCGACUCUCCACCGACCAGUAUAAAUAAGUGGACGCGAUCGCAAGGAAAUGAGUUACAGUCAAUUGUCGAUCAGUUAUCAACCAAUUAUCAACGAAUUAUCAGCGAUUUAAUUAACGAAUCAUUAGCGAUCCUACUUUACGACUGUCUUAACGAAUCGAAAUCCUCGAACCUGUCUCGGAUAUCCACUGUGCACCAUCAAGGUUCAGGGUUAAUAACCAGAAUAACGGAACGAAAAGAAAGAAGGGAAGAAAAUCGGAGAAAAGGGGGAGAAGGCUAAUAUGAAUAACCCAAGGACAAUUGGCCGGCAUUGCAAGAUGCGCCUUAUUCCGCGAAACUUGGCGCCCCGCUACUACAAGAUGUUACCUCCUCCUACGUGGAAAUGUAAUAUGCUUCCGUGGACCAGCAGUCAGCCAACCAAACCAGCCUGUGACGCCACCGUAGUUUCUUAAUUUCAUUUUCGCCCGGUUGCCAGAAAGCGUAGACCUCAACGAGUCCGUCUGUCCCUUGCAUUUUGGAUUUUUCGUUGAUUUUUUGCGGGAAUCGCUCGGAGAAUUCAACACGAAUUCCGCGUGGAUUUCGAGCAAGCACGAAAGAGACCACCCGCUCCGGCCUUUUAGCGCUAACAAUUUUUCAAGCCACUCAAAGUACCCUGGAAAGAAGAAGAGUAUACCACCCGGCACAGAGUACGUGGAACCUGGAGGCGUUUCACGGGUCGGCUAUCUUUUAAAUUGUGAUACGAUAGUUUCGAGCUGAGGAACACUUCUACACCCUUUAAAACGAAGCAAAGCGAGAGAUCGUUAAGUAGGACUCCAGUUAAUUUCCGUCGACGUUAUACCAGCCAGAAAUAAAAUUUUCUUUAUAGUACGACCACGCGGACGAUACCUCUUUUCCUUUAUGUCACUGUGUAAAUGGUUUUUGGACUUUCGACGGGCUACCUGAACCUAAACGUAGAACCACGGCGAAUUACGGUGUCGUCUGUGUGGUGGGCGGUAUUCACGGACAAUAAAAUUAGUCCUUCGAGUAUUGUCCAGAGGGAUACAUACAGACCGUAAAGAGAAAUUCUCGUGACUGAUGCACGUGUUUCCAACACGACGAAGCGACACAUAUGGAAACGUUUUGCCGAGACAGCGGAA